ensembl:lncRNA
AUGAUUGUUGGCCUCAUAUAUGUCUUCUUUCAUAAAGUGUCUGUUCAUACCCUUUGCCCAAUUUUGAAUGGGCUUGUUUGUUUUUUCCCUGUAAAUCUGUUUGAGUUCUUUGUAAAUUCUGGAUAUCAGCCCUUUGUCAGAUGGGUAAACUGCAAACAUUUUACCCAUUCUGUUGGUUGCCGAUUCACUCUAGUGACUGUUUCUUUUGCAGUGCAGAAAGCUGUGGAGUUUCAUUAGGUCCCAUUUAUCUAUUUUGGCUUUUGUUGCCAAUGCUUUUGUUGUUUUGUUCAUGAAGUCCUUGCCUACUCCUAUGUCCUGGAUAGUUUUGCCUAAAUUUCCUUCUAGGGUUUUUAUGGUGCCAGGUCUUAUGUUUAAGUCUUUAAUCCAUCUGGAGUUAAUUUUAGUGUAAGGUGUCAGGAAGGGGUCCAGUUUCUGCUUUCUGCACAUGGUUAGCCAGUUUUCCCAACACCACUUGUUAAACAUGGAAUCCUUUCCCCAUUGCUUGUUUUUGUCUGGUUUGUCAAAGAUUGUAUAGUUGUAUGUAUGUUGUGUUGCCUCCGGUGCCUCUGUUUUGUUCCAUUGGUCUAUAUCUCUGUUUUGGUACCAGUACCAUGAUGUUUUGAUUACUGUAGCCUUGUAGUAUAGUUUGAAAUCCGGUAGUGUGAUGCUUCCCGCUGUGUUCUUUUUGCUUAGAAUUGACUUGGCUAUGCGGGCUCUCUUUUGGUUCUAUAUGAAGUUCAUGGUGGUUUUUUCCAGUUCUGUGAAGAAAGUCAAUGGUAGCUUGAUGGGGAUAGCGUUGAUUCUGUAAAUUACUUUGGGCAGUAUAGCCAUUUUCACGAUGUUAAUUCUUCCUAACCAUGAACAUGGAAUGUUUCUCCAUCUGUUUGUGUCCUCUCUGAUUUCAUUGAGCAGUGGUUUGUAGUUCUCCUUGAAGAGGUCCCUUACGUUCCUUGUGAGUUGUAUUCCAAGGUAUUUUAUUCUUUUUGUAGCAAUUGCGAAUGGCAGUUUGCUCUUGAUUUGGCUUUCUUUAAGUCUGUUAUUGGUGUAGACGAAUGCUUGUGAUUUUUGCACAUUGAUUUUAUAUCCUGAGACUUUGCUGAAGUUGCUUAUCAGUUUCAGGAGUUUUUGGCUGAGGCGAUGGGGUCUUCUAGGUAUACUAUCAUGUCGUCUGCAAAUAGAGACAAUUUGGCUUCCACUUUUCCUAUUUGAAUACCCUUUAUUUCUUUUUCUUGCCUGAUUGCUCUGGCUAGAACUUCCAGUACUAUAUUGAAUAGGAGUGGUGAGAGAGGGCAUCCUUGUCUAGUGCCAGAUUUUAAAGGAAAUGCUUCCAGUUUUUGCCCAUUCAGUAUGAUAUUGGCUGUUGGUUUGUCAUAAAUAGCUUUUAUUACUUUGAGAUACAUUCCAUCGAUACCGAGUUUAUUGAGGGUUUUUAGCAUAAAGGGCUGUUGAAUUUUGUCAAAUGCCUUCUCUGCGUCAAUUGAGAUAAUCAUGUGGUUUUUGUUUUUGGUUCUGUUUAUGUGGUGAAUUACGUUGAUAGACUUGCGUAUGUUGAACCAGCCUUGCAUCCCCGGGAUGAAUCCUACUUGAUCGUGAUGAAUAAGUUUUUUGAUUUGCUGUUGCAAUCGGCUUGCCAAUAUUUUAUUGAAGAUUUUUGCAUCUAUGUUCAUCAUGGAUAUUGGCCUGAAGUUUUCUUUUCUCGUUGGGUCUCUGCCGGGUUUUGGUAUCAGGAUGAUGUUGGUCUCAUAAAAUGAUUUGGGAAGGAUUCCCUCUUUUUGGAUUGUUUGAAAUAGUUUUAGAAGGAAUGGUACCAGCUCCUCCUUGUGUGUCUGGUAGAAUUCGGCUGUGAACCCGUCUGGACCUGGGCUUUUUUUGUGAGGUAGGCUCUUAAUUGCUGCCUCGACUUCGGACCUUGUUAUUGGUCUAUUCAUUGUUUCAGCUUCCUCCUGGUUUAGGCUUGGGAGGACACAGGAGUCCAGGAAUUUAUCCAUUUCUUCCAGGUUUACUAGUUUAUGCGCAUAUAGUUGUUUGUAAUAUUCUCUGAUGAUGGUUUGAAUUUCUGUGUAAUCUGUGGUGAUUUCCCCUUUAUCAUUUUUUAUUGCAUCUAUUUUGUUGUUCUCUCUUUUAUUUUUAAUCAGUCUGGCUAGUGGUCUGUCUAUUUUGUUGAUCUUUUCAAAAAACCAGCUCUUGGAUUUAUUGAUUUUUUGAAGGGUUUUUCGUGUCUCAAUCUCCUUCAGCUCAGCUCUGAUUUUAGUUAUUUCUUGUCCUGUGCUGGGUUUUGAGUUUUUUUGAUCUUGCUCCUCUAGCUCUUUCAAUUUUGACGAUAGGGUGUCAAUUUUGGAUCUCUCCAUUCUCCUCAUAUGGGCACUUAUUGCUAUAUACUUUCCUCUAGAGACUGCUUUAAAUGUGUCCCAGAGGUUCUGGCACGUUGUGUCUUCGUUCUCAUUGGUUUCGAAGAACUUUUUUAUUUCUGCCUUCAUUUCGUUGUUUACCCAGUCAACAUUCAAGAGCCAGUUGUUCAGUUUCCAUGAAGCUGUGCGUUUCUGGGUCGGUUUCUGAAUUCUGAGUUCUAACUUGAUUGCACUAUGGUCUGAGAGGCUGUUAUGAUUUCAGUUGUUUUGCAUUUGUUGAGCAGUGCUUUACUUCCAAUUAUGUGGUCAAUUUUAGAGUAGGUGUGAUGUGGUGCUGCGAAGAAUGUAUAUUCUGUGGAUUUGGGGUGGAGAGUUCUGUAAAUGUCUAUCAGGAUUGCUUGCUCCAGGUAUGAGUUCAAGCCCUGGAUAUCCUUGUUGAUUUUCUGUCUGGUUGAUCUGUCUAAUAUUGACAGUGGAGUGUAAAAGUCUCCCACUAUUAUUGUGUGGGAGUUUAAGUCUCUUUGUUAGUCAUUAAAUACUUGCCUUAUUUAUCUUGGUGCUUCUGCAUUGGGCCCAUAUAUGUUUAGUUUCGUUAGCUCUUCUUGUUGUAUCGAUCCUUUUACCAUUAUGUAAUGGCCUUCUUUGUCUCUUUUGAUCUUUGUUGCUUUAAAGUCUAUUUUAUCGGAGAUGAGAAUUGCAACUCCUGUUUUUUUUUUUUUUUGCUCUCCGUUUGCUUUUUAAAUCUUCCUGCAUCCCUUUAUUUUGAGUCUUUUUGUAUCCUUGCAUAUGAGACAGGUUUCCUGAUUACAGCACACUGAUAGUUUUGGAUUUUUAUCCAAUUUGUCAGUCUGUGUCUAUUGAUUGGUGCAUUUAGUCCGUUUACAUUUAGGGUUAAUAUUAUGUGUGAAUUUGAUACUGCCAUUUUAAUGCUAAGUGGCGUUUUUGUUUUGCCUGUUAGUUGUUGUAGAUUCUUCAUUAUGUUGAUGCUCUUUAGCAUUUAGUGUGAUUUUGGAAUUGCUGGUACUGGUUGUUCCUUUCUAUGUGUAGUCCCUCUUUUAGGAGCUCUUGUAAAGCAGGCCUGGUGUUGACAAAAUCUCUGAGUACUUGCUUGUUCGCAAAGGAUUUUAUUUUUCCUUCACUUCUGAAGCUCAGUUUGUCUGGAUAUGAAAUUCUGGGUUGAAAGUUAUGUUCUUCAUGAAUGUUGAAUAUUGGCCCCCACUCUCUUCUGGCUUGUAGUGUUUCUGCCGAGAGAUCUGCUGUGAGUCUGAUGGACUCCCCUUUUUGGGUGACCCGACGUUUCUCUCUGGCUGCUUUUAGUAUAUUCUCCUUCAUUUCAACCUUGUUGAAUCUGACGAUUAUGUGCCUUGGGGUUGCUCUUCUCGUGGAAUAUCUUUGUGGUGUUCUCUGUAUUUCCUGCAUUUGAGUGUUGGCCUGUCUUGCUAGGUGGUGGAAAUUUUUCUGGAUGAUGUCCUGAAGAGUAUUUUCCAGCUUGGAUUCAUUCUCUUUGUCCCCUUCUGGUACACCUAUCAAAGGUAGGUUAGGUCUUUUCAUAUAAUCCCGCAUUUCUUGGAGACUUUGUUCAUUUUUUUUUUUGUGCUUUUUUCUCUGAUCUUGGUUUCUCGUUCUAUUUUAUUGAGUUGAUCUUUGACUUCAGAUAUUCUUUCUUCUGCUUGGUCAAUUCAGGUAUUUAAACUUGUGGAUGCUUCGCGAAGUUCUCGUAUUGUGUUUUUCAGCUCCUUUAAUUCAUUCAUAUUCCUUUCUAAGUUAUCGAUUCUCAUCAUUAUUUCCUCAAAUCUUUUUUCAUAUCUUUUUUGAAGGUUCUUAAUUUCUUUGCAUUGAUUUAAUACAUGUUCUUUUAGCUCACAAAAGUUUCUCAUUAUCCACCUUCUGAAGUCUAAUUCCAUCAUUUCGUCACAGUCAUUCUCCGUCUAGCUUUGUUCCCUUGCUGGUGAGGAGGUUUGGUCCUUUCUAGGAGGCGAGGUGUUCUGCUUUUGGGUGUUUUUCUUCUUUUUGCGCUGGUUUCUUCCCAUCUUUGUGGAUUUAUCCACUUGUCAUCUGUGUAGUUGCUGACUUUUCGAUUGGGUCUCUUAGUGGACACCCAGAUUUUUGGUGAUGAAGUAUUUCUGUUACUUGGUUUUCCUUCUAGCAGUCUAGCUUCUUCACUGUACGACUGCUGAGGUCCACUCCAGGCCCUGCUUGUCUGGGGUGCACCUAUAGCAGCUGCAGAACAGUGAGGGAUGCUACCAGUUUCUUUUCCUGGUAUCUUUGUCCCAGGAUGAUGCCUGCCAAAUGUUAGUCUUUUGGAUAUAGAGGGGUCAGGGAGCUGCUUGAGGAGACAGUCUGUACUUUAUAGAAGCUCAAUUGCUGAGCUGUCAUCUCUGUUGUUCAUUCAGGGCUGUUAGGCUGCUAUGUUUGAUUCUGCUGCAACAGAGCUCAUUAU